AUUUUUAUACUUUAAACUUUGAUUUUAUUUUUAUGUUUUUUAAAUAUUGGUGUUUUUGAAUGUGUUGUUUAAAUAACAUAAAAAAUAAAAUAUAUAUUGACAUGUAUUAAACAAAGAUAUAUAUUAUUUUAUGUUGUAUAAAUAAAUUGGCAAAAUAGAGAUGGAAGAUAAAAAUAUGGUCAAAGUAAUAAGAGUCUAUGG
rnacentral:misc_RNA from 1 species